GAGGGCCCGGCAUGGCACGGGGCAUUGCCGCUAGAUGGGGCCGUUUGCCCGAGGGAGCGACCCUGAAGUACGCGGUGGGAUGUGGCUCAGCCGUCUUCAGCCCGGCUUCCACGAGCGGAACGUCACUCCUCUCCGCCCUCAGGGGGAAGAAAGGAGCACAGGCAGGCAGAGAGCCCAGCCCAGCUAACCUCCUGGCUUCUGCUGUAGAGCUCUCCAUUCCUUUUUGAAGACAGCAGCAGCAUGCGCAUCACCUCUAAAAACACAAGGUAAAUACAG
rnacentral:lncRNA from 1 species